GCUAGACUAGGCUGCUCUUAGGGACGGGUUAAGAGCACGGGGAGUGACAGCCGAAGGGAAGUCCCUGGCCGGCCGUGGGAGCAAGGAACCAAGAAACCGUGGAGAGCUUCAGUACAGCACAGGGAGUUUGUACCUAGCCAAAUCAUUCAGAUGCUGCUCCCAGGAAGCUGCUUCAAGUCCUGCAGCCAUCGAUGUUGAACAGGAGGACACAGCACCCCAUCGCGCCAAGCUUCCUGAAUGCCAUAGGACCUUCUAGUGCACCCUCUCAGAAAAGGGACAUCACUUUAAGCAGCUGAAGCACUCAGCACCCAGCUCCACUCUCAUUCCUAGCAGCACGAUUGACACAAAACUAUUUUUUCAAUUUAAUAAAAGCAAACAAGUAGACAUGC